GUGCCAGCCGCCGCGGUAAUACGGAGGGUGCAAGCGUUAUCCGGAUUCACUGGGUUUAAAGGGUGCGUAGGUGGGUCUGUAAGUCAGUGGUGAAAUCCCCGAGCUUAACUUGGGAACUGCCGUUGAUACUAUAGAUCUUGAAUAUCGUGGAGGUAAGCGGAAUAUGUCAUGUAGCGGUGAAAUGCUUAGAUAUGACAUAGAACACCAAUUGCGAAGGCAGCUUACUACACGAUCAUUGACACUGAGGCACGAAAGCGUGGGGAGCAAACAGGAUUAGAUACCCCGGUAGUCC
rnacentral:rRNA from 1 species